GUACAUUUUCUAAGAUAAUCGUGAGAGCUACAAGAAGAAUACACAAGCACCUGGACGCACUGCCCCAGGGUCAGAAACAAACCCUGUCAGUCCAGUCCUCUAGCACUCGGCCACCUUCUGCUGGCUGGUAGCCCCUUUCCACAUGCUGACGCACUGCCCAGCCCUGCACCGUUGGCGACCCGUGCAAAGUACUAGACCAGUCUCAGAAACUUUGACUCAGUUAUCAGGACACUAAGCACCCACACCUGGACGGAGGACUUUCGCGGCCAGGAGGUCAACUCUGAAGCGGGGCAUUCCUUGCAGGUAGAGAUCUGCCCAGGACGCAGCCCCUCCCAGACUGCAAAACCACAAGCAUCAACAGCAAGAGCGGAGCAAAGUGCCGGGCGGAGGCAGGGGGAGCGCGAGGGCGAAAGCGGUCACGAACAGAAGCCUGUGAGAGAGAGACAGAGAGUGGGGAAGAGGCAGAGAGAGAGGGAGACACACAGAAUCUGAAGCAGGCUCCAGGCUCAAGCUGUCAGCACAGAGUCCAAGGUGGGACCUGAACUCACAGACCGUGAGAUCGUGACCUGAGCUGAAGUUGGACGCCUAACUGACUGAGCCACCAAGGCGCCCCUAAAAUAUUAUCCUCUUAACUAUAAGUGCCAAUCACAUUUGGAGACAAUAUCGUUCAUGUGUACAGGAAUUACAAAUAAUAAAUUCAGAAAUCGAUAUCAUUGUCAUCAUCAAUAUUGUCACUAUACAACUAUGGCUCUAUAAUAAAUGGCUAUUGGUCCUUAUCUCAGAA